CGGGCGGUAUCCCUAUGAUUUUGAACCGCACUGGCACAGCCUGGCAGAUGGAAAUUCGUCUGCUGUUUUAUAAGAAGGAAUGGACAAUGGAAGUGUGUACCUUUUGCUUGGAGCCGCUCUGCGGACCGGGACGGAAGG
rfam:Paenibacillaceae bacterium GAS479 genome assembly, chromosome: I